rnacentral:rRNA from 1 species
CAGAGGGGUGCGAGCGUUAAUCGGAAUUACUGGGCGUAAAGCGUGCGUAGACGGCUAUCUAAGUCGGGUGUGAAAGCCCCCGGGCUCAACCUGGGAAUUGCAUUCGAGACUGAAUAGCUAGGGUACGGUAGAGGGAAGCGGAAUUUCCGGUGUAGCGGUGAAAUGCGUAGAUAUCGGAAGGAACAUCAGUGGCGAAAGCGGCUUCCUGGACCAGUACCGACGUUCAGGCACGAAAGCGUGGGGAGCAAACAGGAUUAGAUACCCUGGUAGUCCACGCCAUAAACGAUGAGGACUAGACGUUGGAGGGGUAAGCCUUUCAGUGUCGUAGCUAACGCGCUAAGUCCUCCGCCUGGGGAGUACGGCCGCAAGGUUG